ensembl:lncRNA
UGACAUUCACAUAUUUUUAAGUAUGGUUGUGUUUAAUUUAUAAUAAAUUGAUUAAAUUAAUAAGAAUAAAUUAAAUGCAUGCCUUUUUAUAUAGUGUGUUAUGUAAUGCAGUGACAUUAAUAUUUUUUUUUUUUUAAUUUUUAUUUUUUUUUUGAUUUUAAGCAUGGUCAUGUUCAAUUUCUAAUAAAUUGAUUAAAUAAAUUAAGUAAAUUCCCCCAUGAUAAAUAAAUGGCUUUUUAAUACAGUUUUUAAUGACAAAUGAAUAGAGGUGAGUUUGAAACAUGACAGUAGCAGGGGAUUGUGGGACUGUAUAUUUUACCUUUCUCCAUCCUAUCAGUCAGUGUGUCUGUGGCGCUGAUAAUGUUUUCAGCAGACAGCAGAGAGAAUGAUGAAGAUGCCGCAGGAAUGCAGGACUGUGCUGCAGACUGUGAUGGUGGAGCGCUGUAUUUAUGUGGCUGUCCUUAUCAGUAACUCUGGAGAUAAACGCAGUCUGCUGACCACAGCCACAACAGGAACUGAUGUGUUUAUGCUGAAACGCUGUUCCUUAAACACACACACUCAAGUGAGCAGCAGACUUAACCAGGCCUUACAUGGUUCUCACAGUGAUCCUGAGCUGUCAAGUGCUGCGUGUGUUUUUACUCCAUUACAACAAGGAUGUUUCCUGAAUAGCUCAACUAUCAAGCGACUCACAGCGUGA